AUUGAACGCUGGCGGCAGGCCUAACACAUGCAAGUCGAACGAGUGACGGACAGGUGAGUAAUGUCUGGGAAACUGCCCGAUGGAGGGGGAUAACUACUGGCAACGGUAGCUAAUACCGCAUACCAUCGGAUGUGCCCCGAUGGGAUUAGCUAGUAGGUGGGGUAACGGCUCACCUAGGCGACGAUCCCUUGCUUGUCUUAGAGGAUGACCAUGCAAACGGGAACUGAGACACGGUCCAGACUCCUACUGGAGGCACCAGUGGGGAAUAUUGCACAAUGGGCGCAAGUCUGAUGCAGCCAUGCCUCUUGUAGGAAGAAGGCCUUCGGGUUGUAAAGUACUUUCAGCGAUGAGGCGUUACUCGCAGAAGAAGCACCGGCUAACUCCGUGCCAGCCGCCGCGGUAAUAC
rnacentral:rRNA from 1 species